ACUGAGCGAAACAGGGCGACACUCUCCUCACAAUAGUUGUGUUUUUGGUCAGUAAGCGGGUAUUUUGUGACAGCACGCAGCCGAGCCGAUGUUGGCCAUUGUUCUAAACAGGACGGUAUGUGAGCUGAGAGAGGAUGAGCUGAGUCCUGAUGAUCCAGAGGUUGAAUCAGCAGCAGCUUGUGUGUAGAGAGACUCUGACUGGACCAUGUUACUGGGAGGUGGAGUCAAGAGGAGAGCUUCAUCUUCUCUAAAAUAAGCCGCGAGUUCUUCAACACAUACUUCAAAAUAAUUCUCUUUCUUUUAUUUCACUGAUUGUUUUAGUCAUGCAUUGAUGUCGAUGGUAGCAUAUUAAAAUUGCUAAACGGACAAUAGAACUUGCGAAAGUGCUACAGAUUUAGUUUAUCUUAUAAAAUCCUAAACUAUGAGAGGAAUGCGAUUCGUACUGAAAAGUUGUGGAAUAGCGUUAAUCCGAGGUGUCACUUAUGUGAAAUGAAGUAGUUAAAUAGAGCAGACACAGAAAAUCCGCUGUAAUUAGCAUCAGCUAACCUAGCCUAGCCUGUGGCUCUCACUCUAUCAUGUCUAUGGACUCACAUACAGACAACGAGUGUUGCUGCCCUCUAGUGGACAGAAACUGUCAUUACACGUGAAGCGUUAAGUUAAUUAAAAUUAAAUACGGACAGUACUUCCGGUUAACAUUCAAAAGUAAAAGUCGAAACACCUGUGUGCUGUAGUGAAUGAAAAUAAAGUACCACUUAUAAAUGAAACUUUUUCAAGAAGGACUGUUAUUAUUUUUUAUAUUCCAUUUAAAUAUAAAUGCUUUUAAAAUAGAAAAAUAUUCCAUGCAUAUUGGUACUUGAAAAUAAAAAUAUUUGAACUAUGAACUCCAGUGCAGAAAGACUAUGGAAAUAAUUUAAUUUUAAAUUUAAUUUUUAGUAUUACAUUACUAUGACAUGGAAUUGGUGUUCACUUGAUUUACACUUGUAUAGAUGUAAUGAUUGUGUGUGUAAUUUCUAUCUUUUCAUGUGACUUUUUAAAUAUGUAUUUACUUCAGAUUGUGUUGAUUGAACACUGCGUCUAAAAUGCCUUGAGCAUCCUGACUGUAGGGUUGAGAAUGUUAAAAUAAUAAAAGUCAAAUCUAAGAAAUAUAUAAAUAAACAAUAAGAUAAUGUACGAAUGCAUAAAACUAUAUUUUCCCCUUUUUUCAUUUUAUAAAACCAAAAGUACACAUAUAUCUCUCAUGUUUGGUCUCUGUGUAUUGUAAACGAAACCAUAUUUAUAAUUCUUUGAUUUGUGACCAUUGUGUCGGUUUAUAUCAGUGGUAAAUAAUAUAUAUAUUAAGUUUUACUUUAUUUUUAAGUAGGAGAUUUUAUCCAUGGUUGGGUCCUGAGAGACACAGUGGUGUCAUUGAAUUGUUGCUCUUUUUGGCAAAACUCUGCAACAUUUCUAUGUUAAUAAUUACAACAAUUAUGACUAUGACAAUGAAAACAAUAAAAGAUAUUUAUUUCA